AGCAUGCUUAUGUUUGAGGAGUCUGGAGGCUUGCACCUUUCUGGUGCUUUCUGCCCUUAAGCUGGUGGAGAGUUGUCUGGUUCCGAUGGAGGAUUGCAUCUAGUUACCCAGUUCUGAUUCAGGUUGUGGUGCGCUAUUUUCUCAUAAAGGACUCUUGUGACCUUGCCUGGGUGUGCAGCUGAUAUGGAGAAUAUGCCAAGUCAACUGGAUGAGUCAGCACAGGCAACACAAAGGACUGCAGUUAAAAGCCAGGGCUAGGACUUGGAGGAUGUGUAGGCAAACGGAAGGAGAGCCGGGGGAAGAAAAACCGAAAUGGAUUCAUUCUCUGUCCUGGAUGGAGGAGGAGAGGAGAGGAGAGGAGAAGGGGACGUGCGAGCUUCCUUCAACUGCCUCUGUCCGGUGAAAAGUGCUCAGACCCCCGGGGCUGAGCCGGGCUCAGGAGUCCACGCGGACUUUCGCUUUAAGCUGCCAAUCAAACCGCUAACUAGCCACCACCCUGCGCUGGCACCGACAUGGUCUGCGGGAUCUCCCUCUGUGAGAGGCAACUCGGGCAGCUCGGUCCUCUCUGCAGUCUCAGCACUGCCAGUGGAGAAGCCCAGGAGUGCAGAGCAGUGGCUGAGCAGCAAUUUGAAUAUUCAUAUUUAA
rnacentral:lncRNA from 1 species